CCAGAUGAUGGCCACCUCCUUGGGCACCUGUGUGCUCCCACCCAACCCCGAGUUAGCAUGUCAUGCAUUGUUUAUGAAGUGUUUGUCUGGACUCAAGGUGAGCCGGGGAAUCAGUGAGACAAAUAAAUAAAUAAUUGCCAGCGGCACUGAGCGCAAGGGCCACGAGGGAGGGUGGCAGGGAUUGUUUACCUUGGGGGCUUGCAUAUUUCAUCACCGUGCAAUCUCCUGACCCCCUCUUCCCUCCUCUACCCCCCUCUCCUGAUGUUGCUGUGAUGAGAGUUUCUAUUAUCCAGCACACCCGUUUGUAAGUCUAUUUACGACCCAGGCAUCAUCGGUUUGUGUGUGAGAGAGAUGGCCCAUCCCCAGAUUAGUUAAAUUGGAAAUAAAUUGGUUGUUAAAUAAAAGCCCUCUGUGGGAUGUGAGAGUGAUGAAUGAGGGAUGGCUGUGCCUGGGGAAGGGAGGGGUGGCUUUCUGGAUUGAGACUGUAGAACUGAACUGCCCUGGGAAACUUGGGUGCGAGUCUGGGAUGGUCCGGAGGGCUGAGGGCAGAGAAAGCCUGAGCGGGGGUGGAGCGUAAGGGGGCCGGGCGCUGGAGGACAUCCUGGGAGGGAAAUUGAGGGUGGAGGACUUUAUCCCCCACUAGAACUGUAUUUUAUUUGCUUAUGGCAUACAGAGUACUUUUACAUAUGUUAUGCCUUUGCUUUUAUAACUUUGUGACAUGUUUUUCAGACUUGACAGAUAACGAAAACUCUAGUGAAAUGGCUUGACUUGCCCGUGGUCAUUGUCAAAUGAAAACAAUUCCGGACUUGGUACUGGAGUUGAACCCAGGACCUUGUGCAUGCUAAGCAUGCACACUGCCACUUGAGCUAUACCCUCCCCCUCAAAGGGAUUUCUAAAUGACAAGCCAGAGAUACGAGGACUGCCGUGAUAGUGACGUGGAGGGUGUUCGUGCAUCCCGGGCAGCCCUGUGGUUUACCAGAGGCUCCAGACAACGACUCGAGCUCCAGCCAUGGCCCCACGGGGGCUUUUCAUCUAACAGGAUCCUCAGCCAGCCUAAGGGACCAGCUUGGAGACCAGCCUGGAAUCAGAUAGACCUGUGGUUCAAAUUCCGCACUGCCAGCUAUAGACAGGGUCGGACAUGCCAUGUUAAACUGGAGAUACCCUGAUCUGUGACCUUGGAAAAAGGGAACAGACUGGCCAAAGGCAGGGCCUGGACCGGAUGACCUCUAGGAGAUAUGGGGACCACUAACUGGAGCACAGAAUCAUAGGAUGCUGGUACCUGGCCCCAGUGAACCAGAGGGAAGGACUCACUCUUCAAUCAGUUCCUUAAUCGGCAGAUAGACAUCAAACACCUAUCAUGGGCUGGUGUCCCUGAGGUUGCGCCUAGCCCAGGGAGGUUCCAAACGGAGCCAGGUGGUGGGGAACAAUCUCUGUGGCACAUGUCAGCUCAGCAGGGCUCCCCUUCGCAGCGGGCUGCUAAUAGCCGAGGAGCCGCAGACCUGUCUCCUUCCCUGGGAUUAAUUCAUUACUCCAGCCCUACUCGGAUUCCGUCAGGUUCGAACGUCAGAACUGAAUAUGCAGCUAAUGAGUCUGAUGCUCUCUCUAUCUCUCCGGGUCCUGGGCUCCCGCUUCCCCAUCGUCUCGCUGUCUGCAGACAAUUGCAGUUUCCUCUGGAUAUGUGCCCAGGACUGGGAUUGCUGGAUGAUAUGGCUUCCCGAGGUCUGUGAACUUGUUGCACCUGCCACAGCACGGGGUACAGUCCCUUGUCUAUGGCAGGUGAUGGGUUGAACAUCCCUGAGAGUGAAUUUGAGACCACAGGAAGGCCGCCGUCACAGUGCUGUUUUCGACAUGGUUACUACAAGACAUUGAAUAUAGUUCCCUGUGCUCUACAGAAGAAGUCUGUUUAUUUUAUAUAUAGUAGUUAAUUUCUGCAAAUCUCAAACUCCCAAUUUAUCCCUUCCCACCCGCUUUCCCCCCGGUAACCAUAAGUUUGUUUUCUGUGUCGGUGUGUCUGUUUCUGUUUUGUAAAUAAGUUCAUUUGGGUCUUUUUCUCUUUUUUGAUUCCACACCAGGUCACUUGUUCCUUAGACUCCUCCUGCUUCCAGCCAUCAGUCAAUUGAUCAAGCGUCAUCCUUUAUGACUCUAGUUCAAAACCUUCAGUGACACUCCUUGGCCUCAAAAAGAAGUCCAAACUCCAAAGCCCCAAUGAACCUAAUUUCCCACUCUCUGCUCUUUCCACCCUUGCAACAUUUACUGCCCAAAAUUCGAGUUUAUUUAUAACACUCCCCUCGCCACCCCAAUGCACUCUGCAAUUUCCUCCCAGGCAUCCCUUCAUAGGCCUCGUUCUGUCUUCCUACAGCUACACAACCCACUUCCUGGGCCCAAUUUAGACCUUACCUCUCCCAGGAAGAACUUUUUGGCUUCCCUAGCCCACAUCCCCUUUUAGUUUAACAUCUGUUGAGUGUGUACCAUGUGCCAAGCACUCUCUGUGUGCCAUCUCAUUUAGUAGCUCUGUGGCUACGGCUUUGCUGUGAAUUCCAAAGGUGAAGUACCUUGCUCAGAGUUACACAGUUAGUUGCAAGUUCAAGACUGGUACUGAACCUGACAUUUUUAAAUCCAAAGCAUUGUUCUGAACCCUGUCAUAUACAAAACGAUCUGGUCUUUGUACUCAUUAUGCAAAGAAUAAAUAGCCUCCCCUCCCCUCGGUGACACCAAGGGCUAUGAGUACUAUAAGAAAAUGUGGGGUUUAGGGUUUAUAAUUUUGAGGCAACGUGAUGGUUUAUAAGAUACUGAACUAGGACUCAGGGAACCUGUCUCGUCGCUCUGUUAGUGGGUGCAUCACUCAACCUUUCUGGGCCUGUUUUUCCUUUUGUUAAAAGCCAAAGCAUAACUCCUGUGACUCAGGCUUUGGUGAAGGUCAAAUUAAAUUAUGCCACCACUCUGUAGCCUGUGAAAGCAAGAUGGAAUUAUUAUUAUUGUCAUCAUUUUCAUUGUUUCCCUCCAUAGAUGAAUGACGUCCUGAAUUGAGUAAUAGGCAGUGGGUAGCAAGGGUGGUGUCCUGCAUAGUAAAGGACACAAAACAAAGGCACACAGUGGACAUUUGAAAAAUUCCCGACAGGCUAGGGAAUCGUUAGAUUUUGCCAACAACCUCAAUCAGAUCAAGAUGCCUCUACUAGGAAGCCCCAGGCAGGGCUGACGCACGCGCUUCAAGGCAUCUGCAAAGCUUCCGAUACUGGACAGUUCUGGGAAGGAGGAGCCAUUGGUUUCAUUAGAUUCUCAGGGGAGUCCGUGUUCCCCAGAAGGGUGAGGAGGCAGUGGCUUAAGAAACAGGGCUUGGCUGUGGAACCAGGCACAGGCUCGAAGCUGGAAAGAAGGUCCCUUUGACUCAGAAAUGGAGGUCAGGUAUGGGGUGGUCCUGGGGGUUACCUGAAGUACAGCUAAUUUGGAGCUCACCUGGCAGGGUCCUAGACAAGUUCACCUCCAGGCCAGUGAGGGGUCUCCCAGGGAGGUGGCCUUAGGUCUCACAUGAAGUCACAUCUGUUCAGAGACAAGGGGGACUUCCUGGAAAUGGGGAGUCUCCUGUCCUGAGAAGCGUUUAGCUCGGCAUGAACCAGACACAGAUUUUGCAGACAGGAUUCUAGCACUAGGUGGGGUGCUGGGCUAAAAGGUCCCUACGCGUGCUUCCACCUUUGAAUUGUUUCUCUGAUUAAAGUGUUAAGCAGUGUGGAGUAGACACGAUCACUUAGCUGGAUACCGGGGUAUCUACCUUGCGCCCCUAAAUUCCUCAGCCUGUUGCUAAUUCAAUUUUGUAUUUCUUAGAUGGCUGUGCAUGUGACUGUUUCAGAGCAUCCACUGGAGAGAUUUAUGUGGAAGAGAACAGAUGGUUCUGGGCUGGGUCCCCAAGGCCGUGUCUAAGGAGGGGAAAGCUGUUCUAGUGAAGCUGCCAGAGCCCAGAGCAAACUGUGUUCUGUGGAGCAGUGGAGAGUCCCUGAUAUUUGGUGUUUAUGCUAGAGCAGGCAGAUAGCUAGAGAUGAGCAGAGAAAGGGGGACAUAGGCCGAAUGGCAGGAAGUGGGCAAAAAGAAGGGGUACAGGCCAAAAUGCAGGAAACCUUACAUCAUGUAAGCAACAGGGGUCCCUGGGCAGAGAAAGAAAAGCAGAAACUUCUGGGCUGAUAAGUGGUCACAUCUUUUGGGGUGACAAGCGGCCUGGAGGCCAACAAAGAAAGGUGGGAAAAGGCAGGAAUCUCCAGUGUCUGAAUGUAACCUUUUGCUCAUUAUGCCCUCAUUUCAAUAAAAUUAGCCUUGCAGAUUAGAAGUUCCCAUCAUGCACCGAGGCCAUAACACUUCCAAUCCAGGCCAAAUAAGAACAAAAACCCCUCCUCCCCUCGGGAAGGUGGAGUUGGGAUGAAAAUCAGAAUACGACCCCAAACUCUUCCCUCCCCAAUGAAUAUCUCAACCAUUCGUUUUUACACUCUGUGUAACCAACUUGCCAAAGAAACUCAGGGCAGCUGCUCACCUGAGCCUGCCCGCUCUCCCCUUGAGAGCGUACUAUCCAUCCCUUAAUAAAUCCUCACUUUAACCUUCACGUCUUAUCUAUGAAUUCUUUCUGGGACGGAAUGAGAACCUGGACACGGGCUACAUCUACCAGCAACAUUUUGACAAAAAUGGCUUUGCUGUCACAUAUGUGUGGGGAUUCUGGAUGAAAUAAAAUCAAAUCGCUUUUUGUUUAUUUGCUCGUUUGUUUUGCUUCCUCAAAUCUUGUCACUUUCCAAGAAGGGAGCACAAUAUGCGGCAUCUCCCUAAUUUUUUCAAGCAUGGACACUUCUUUCCCCCAAGGAACAAUUCUCAAGGCCAGUGUUACAAAGAAUACACUAACAUUGCCCAAGACAACUUUGUCAGAUACCCUCUGUCUU